CCGAGUUUACAACUCCCAAACCCAAUGGGAACGUUACCAAACUGUUGCCUCGGCGGGAUCUCUGCCCCGGGUGCGUCGCAGCCCCGGACCAAGGCGCCCGCCGGAGGACCAACCAAAACUCUUAUUGUAUACCCCCUCGCGGGUUUUUUUAUAAUCUGAGCCUUCUCGGCGCCUCUCGUAGGCGUUUCGAAAAUGAAUCAAAACUUUCAACAACGGAUCUCUUGGUUCUGGCAUCGAUGAAGAACGCAGCGAAAUGCGAUAAGUAAUGUGAAUUGCAGAAUUCAGUGAAUCAUCGAAUCUUUGAACGCACAUUGCGCCCGCCAGUAUUCUGGCGGGCAUGCCUGUCCGAGCGUCAUUUCAACCCUCGAACCCCUCCGGGGGGUCGGGGUUGGGGAUCGGCCCUCCCUUAGCGGGGGCCGUCUCCGAAAUACAGUGGCGGUCUCGCCGCAGCCUCUCCUGCGCAGUAGUUUGCACACUCGCAUCGGGAGCGCGGCGCGUCCACAGCCGUUAAACACCCAACUUUCUGAAAUGUUGACCUCGGAUCAGGUAGGAAUACCCGCUGAACUUAAGCAUAUCAAUAAGCGGAGGAAAAGAAACCAACAGGGAUUGCCCCAGUAACGGCGAGUGAAGCGGCAACAGCUCAAAUUUGAAAUCUGGCCCCUAGGGUCCGAGUUGUAAUUUGUAGAGGAUGCUUUUGGNGAGGUGCCGCCCGAGUUCCCUGGAACGGGACGCCACAGAGGGUGAGAGCCCCGUCUGGCUGGCCGCCGAGCCUCUGUAAAGCUCCUUCGACGAGUCGAGUAGUUUGGGAAUGCUGCUCAAAAUGGGAGGUAUAUGUCUUCUAAAGCUAAAUAUUGGCCA
rnacentral:rRNA from 1 species